CGAUUCACACCGUAAAUCGUUAAAAAGGUUUCUGGUCAAUUCGACACGUCUCCACCUACUCGCCGAACAAUUCUCGUUUAAAUAUGUUUUAUGUCGAUUUAUUAUUUUUUUCUAAUAAAUAUUGUAUGUCU
ensembl:lincRNA linc-32 ncRNA